CGCUAUCACUCCUACGGGAGGCAGCAGUGGGGAAUAUUGCACAAUGGGCGCAAGCCUGAUGCAGCCAUGCCGCGUGUGUGAAGAAGGCCUUCGGGUUGUAAAGCACUUUCAGUCGUGAGGAAGGUAGUGUAGUUAAUAGCUGCAUUAUUUGACGUUACCUACAGAAGAAGCACCGGCUAACUCCGUGCCAGCAGCCGCGGUAAUACGGAGGGUGCGAGCGUUAAUCGGAAUUACUGGGCGUAAAGCGCAUGCAGGCGGCCUGUUAAGUCAGAUGUGAAAGCCCGGGGCUUAACCUCGGAAUUGCAUUUGAAACUGGCAGGCUAGAGUCUUGUAGAGGGGGUAGAAUUUCAGGUGUAGCGGUGAAAUGCGUAGAGAUCUGAAGGAAUACCAGUGGCGAAGGCGGCCCCCUGGACAAAGACUGACGCUCAGAUGCGAAAGCGUGGGGAGCAAACAGGAUUAGAUACCCUGGUAG
rnacentral:rRNA from 1 species